AUGAACGCUGGCGGCGUGCCUAAUACAUGCAAGUCGAGCGAACAGACGAGGAGCUUGCUCCUCUGACGUUAGCGGCGGACGGGUGAGUAACACGUGGAUAACCUACCUAUAAGACUGGGAUAACUUCGGGAAACCGGAGCUAAUACCGGAUAAUAUAUUGAACCGCAUGGUUCAAUAGUGAAAGACGGUUUUGCUGUCACUUAUAGAUGGAUCCGCGCCGCAUUAGCUAGUUGGUAAGGUAACGGCUUACCAAGGCAACGAUGCGUAGCCGACCUGAGAGGGUGAUCGGCCACACUGGAACUGAGACACGGUCCAGACUCCUACGGGAGGCAGCAGUAGGGAAUCUUCCGCAAUGGGCGAAAGCCUGACGGAGCAACGCCGCGUGAGUGAUGAAGGUCUUCGGAUCGUAAAACUCUGUUAUUAGGGAAGGACAAAUGUGUAAGUAACUAUGCACGUCUUGACAGUACCUAAUCAGAAAGCCACGGCUAACUACGUG
rnacentral:rRNA from 1 species